rnacentral:rRNA from 1 species
UACGUAGGUGGCAAGCGUUGUCCGGAUUUACUGGGCGUAAAGAGCGCGCAGGCGGUCGUUCAAGUCGCGUGUGAAAGCCCCCGGCUCAACUGGGGAGGGUCACGCGAUACUGAUCGACUCGAAGGCAGGAGAGGGAAGUGGAAUUCCCGGUGUAGUGGUGAAAUGCGUAGAUAUCGGGAGGAACACCAGUGGCGAAGGCGACUACCUGGCCCAUUCUUGACGCUGAGGCGCGAAAGCUAGGGUAGCAAACGGG